UACGUGGGGAGCAAGCGUUGUUCGGAUUUACUGGGCGUAAAGGGCGCGUAGGCGGUCAGCACAAGUCAGUUGUGAAAUCUCCGGGCUUAACUCGGAAAGGUCAACUGAUACUGUGCGACUAGAGUGCGGAAGGGGCAACUGGAAUUCUCGGUGUAGCGGUGAAAUGCGUAGAUAUCGAGAGGAACACCUGCGGCGAAGGCGGGUUGCUGGGCCGACACUGACGCUGAUGCGCGAAAGCGUGGGGAGCGAACAGG
rnacentral:rRNA from 1 species